GACAGAGGCCUCAAGCGUUAGGCGGAAUCACUGGGCUUAAAGCGUGUGUAGGCGGAUCGUUAAGUGUCUUGUGAAAUCCCACGGCUCACCCGUGGAACUACUGGGCAUACUGGCGAUCUUGGGCCAACUAGGGGCAACUGGAACAAGCGGUGGAGCGGUGAAAUGCGUAGAUAUCGCUUGGAACGCCAAAGGGUGAAAACAGGUUGCUGGGGUUGUGCCGACG
rnacentral:rRNA from 1 species